UGGGGAAUAUUGCACAAUGGAGGGAACUCUGAUGCAGCGACGCCGCGUGAACGAAGAAGGCUUUCGAGUCGUAAAGUUCUUUUAUAUGGGAAGAUAAUGACGGUACCAUAAGAAAAAGCCCCGGCUAACUACGUGCCAGCAGCCGCGGUAAUACGUAGGGGGCUAGCGUUGUCCGGAAUCACUGGGCGUAAAGGGUGCGCAGGCGGCUUUACAAGUUGGAUGUGAAAUAUUGUGGCUCAACCACAAACGUGCAUCCAAAACUGCAAAGCUUGAGUUAAGGAGAGGUAAGUGGAAUUCCUGGUGUAGCGGUGGAAUGCGUAGAUAUCAGGAGGAAUACCGGUGGCGAAGGCGACUUACUGGACUUAAACUGACGCUCAGGCACGAAAGCGUGGGGAGCAAACAGG
rnacentral:rRNA from 1 species